rnacentral:rRNA from 1 species
UCCGUAGGUGAACCUGCGGAAGGAUCAUUACCGUAGGGAUCCGUCCCUAUCAAGAUAGUACCCUUUGUUUAUAAGUACUAUUUAUUUCCUUAGUAGGUCUGUCUGGACCCGCCGCUAGGACCCCCUAAAAAACCUUUGUAGUUGCAGUACCUUUAGUAAAUAAUAAAAAUAUUAAAACUUUUAACAACAGAUCUCUUAGUUCUAGCAUUAAUAAAGAACGCAGCGAAAUGCGAUAAGUAGUGUAAAUUAUAGAAUUUAGUAAAUUAUCAAAUCUUUGAACGUACAUUGCGCCCUUUGGUAUUCCGUUAGGCAUGCCUGUUCGAGCGUUAUUUAAACCCUUCAAGCUCUGCUUGGUGUUGGGCGUUUGUUCCGCCUCCGCGCGUGGACUCGCCUUAAAUUCAUUGGCAGCUAGUUAGUUGGCUUUCGUGCGCAGCACAUUGCGUAGCGGCUCUAGCUUGCCUCCUACUAUUAAGCUACUCUACAUCUUUUGACCUUAGAUUAGGUAGGGAUACCUGCUAAACUUAA